rnacentral:SRP_RNA from 1 species
AACAAUGAAAUAGGUAUGCAACCCAAAAAAGAUCCUGAUAUGGCUGCUUCAUUCCUGAUCUGACCAAGUUACAGAGUUUUUGCCUGCAUACCUUGUAAAAU